UACGUAGGUGGCAAGCGUUGUCCGGAUUUAUUGGGUUUAAAGGGUGCGUAGGCGGCUUUGUAAGUCAGUGGUGAAAUAUGGCAGCUUAACUGUCAGGGUGCCAUUGAUACUGCGGAGCUUGAGUACAGAUGAGGUAGGCGGAAUUGACGGUGUAGCGGUGAAAUGCUUAGAUAUCGUCAAGAACACCGAUAGUGAAGACAGCUUACUAGGCUUCUACUGACGCUGAGGCACGAAAGUGUGGGGAUCAAACAGG
rnacentral:rRNA from 1 species